rnacentral:tRNA from 1 species
AGCGAUUUAGGAUACAUAAGUCCACGGGCCUUCAAAGCCCACAGAGGGGGUUAAAGUCCCUCAAUCCCU